rnacentral:rRNA from 1 species
CCAAUAGCGUAUAUUAAAGUUGUUGCAGUUAAAAAGCUCGUAGUUGAAUUUCGGGGUUAGUAGGUUGGUCAUGCCUCUGGUAUGUACUGGUCUCACUGAUUCCUCCUUCCUGAUGAACCUUAAUGCCAUUAAUUUGGUGUUUUGGGGAAUUUGGACUGUUACUUUGAAAAAAUUAGAGUGUUUAAAGCAAGCUAACGCUUGAAUACAUUAGCAUGGAAUAAUGAAAUAGUACGUUUGAUCCUAUUUUGUUGGUUUCUAGGAUUGACGUAAUGAUUAAUAGGGAUAGUUGGGGGCAUUAGUAUUCAAUUGUCAGAGGUGAAAUUCUUGGAUUUAUUGAAGACUAACUACUGCGAAAGCAUUUGCCAAGGAUGUUUUCAUUAAUCAAGAACGAAAGUUAGGGGAUCGAAGACGAUCAGAUACCGUCGUAGUCUUAACCAUAAACUAUGCCGACUAGGGAUCGGAUGAUGUUAAUUUUUUAAUGACUCAUUCGGCGCCUUACG